rnacentral:rRNA from 1 species
GCCGGAGGGUGCAAGCGUUGUUCGGAUUGACUGGGCGUAAAGGGCGUGUAGGCGGUCGGCCAAGUCUGAUGUGAAAGCCCGAGGCUCAGCCUCGGAAGUGCGUCGGAAACUAGUCGGCUGGAGCGCGAUAGAGGAGGGUGGAAUUCCUGGUGUAGCGGUGAAAUGCGUAGAUAUCAGGAGGAACACCGGCGGCGAAGGCGGCCCUCUGGAUCGUUGCUGACGCUGAUACGCGAAAGCGUGGGGAGCAAACAGG